rnacentral:snoRNA from 1 species
AUGGGCCAUGUGAUAAGAAUCCAUAUGCAAUACUCACGACGGUCAUCUGAUACACUUAGUGUGUCAUGUUGCAGUCAUAUAUUCUCUGAUGCCCUUU